UACGAAGGGGGCUAGCGUUGUCCGGAAUUAUUGGGCGUAAAGAGCUCGUAGGCGGCUUGUCACGUCGGGUGUGAAAGCCCGGGGCUUAACCCCGGGUCUGCAUUCGAUACGGGCUAGCUAGAGUGUGGUAGGGGAGAUCGGAAUUCCUGGUGUAGCGGUGAAAUGCGCAGAUAUCAGGAGGAACACCGGUGGCGAAGGCGGAUCUCUGGGCCAUUACUGACGCUGAGGAGCGAAAGCGUGGGGAGCGAACAGG
rnacentral:rRNA from 1 species